rnacentral:lncRNA from 1 species
GAUUCCCCUCACAGAUAUUUUCCUGUCUCUUCUGAAGGGCCAGUCUUCUCGGGAGUUGAAGUGAGUGGUUGCUAAGUGUGGAGUCAGCAGUAGACUGGGAACAGGAGGGCAGAGGGCCUGGCAAGAGCCCAUGGGGGUUUCCCGGGGUUUCCAAAGAGGCUUCCAGUUGGGUGUCCACCAGAUCACACCCACAGAAACCACUUCUUCCCUCCAGAAACUUCCCAGACCUCUUACCACCACACAAGGGAUUUAAGAACUGAACAAUCUUUUGGGGAUGUCCAGUAAAGGGAAUGGUGAGGCGGCUCCAAAAGGAAACAAAGGGAGUGUUUAGCUGGUUGGUGAGCUCAGGUAUCAGUCCCAGAGAGCCGAUUUCUCUGCUUUGCUUUGUCUGUUAGUACUCAUUUUGCUUUGCAACCAGAAACACAUUUCAGUUUGAAAUUGUACCCAGGCUGCACCCUCCCUCUCCGACGUUAGGGUGCACCCACUCUUCUCAGGCCCAAUCAGGCAGCGAUGUGCCUUGCAUCCAGACAAGGAGUAAAUAUCAUUCUGGAGCCCUCAGUGAAUAUCAUUCUGGAGUAAUAGCUUCUUCAUAAUAAGGACUUACAAGUAACUCAUUACCUCCUCACCAGCCAAAAAUACUCAUUUCUCCAGGGCACAUCUACAAGACGAGGAAACCAGAGAGGGGACAAAUCUCCCAGACCUGUGGGAGGGAAGAAAAGAGACAACCUGAGCUGGAAGUAACCCUGGGCCAAUCCUAAAACCACGUGCAGAUCCACGGAGGACUAAUGUGGAACUGAAUUUUUCUAUACUGAGCAAUGACUUGAGAUCACUGACCUAAGGUUUCUACCUCCACAAAGAGCAGUAUUUCAGCUCACUCUUCUUGGUGAUGAAUAAAUUGACUUCCAACUAUGAAUAAUCUGAAAAUAAGCAUUUUGUGGACUCUCACUGACCAUUGUUAAAUCGUGAUGAGCAGAAAGCCAACAGAAUUGAUGGGUCAGUAGGCUCAUCCAUUUACCUGAUAACCAGCCUUGGACCUGAAAUCCAACCUCAUGGUCAAAUAAUUCUGCUUGACGCCCCCAGUCUACAUAUUGACAUGUUUCUCUCCUGUAGCUGACAAGGUGUGUGCUAAAUAUUUGCAUGCAAAGAGUUGAUUCCAAAAUGCAUCUUUGUUGUCUUGUCCAACUUGGCUUUCUGGUUGCUAAUGCUGUUUUGUCUGCUGGGACUCCACACCCUGCCUGAUCAUUCUUUUAUGGUAACCUUUGCCCAGCUCAACCCACCACCACUGGCCUCUAUUCACAGGUCCCUCUCCCUACUCUAAUCCCCCACCGCCCUUGCCUCCAACUAAGAAGCCUUACAAACUUGCCAGAAUGUAUCAGCCUUGCCCCUGUGACCUCUCUUGGUCCACACUGUUCCAUUUUAGUCUAUAUUUUUAUUAUAUUUAAAGUAAAUUAUUUGAAUUUCUAACAAAUUUUUGAUAUUUUCUACUACAGUAAACUCUUCAAUAUUAUUUUCUUUUGAACUUGGUAAGCAAUCUUUUUAUUUUAUCUUUUGGCAUUAAUAUUACCUAACAGAAAAAUGCACAAUCAUAAGUCUACAGCUCAAUGAAUUUUUCACAAAGCAAACAUACCUGAUGUGUAGCCAGCAACCACAUUAAAAGAUAGAACAUUAUCAGUACCCUAGAAGCCCCUUUUGUAUCCCCUUCCAGCUAUGACCUCUCCCUAAAGGUAACCACUAUCUUGACUUGCCUGUUUUUUAACUUCAUGAAGAUGGAGUCAAACACUGUUACAGUUGUCAUGGAUGUGUGCCACUCAGAUGUCCCUUCAGGAGAAAACCUGCAGCAAACAGUGCAGUGAGCCCAUGGCCUUUAGCUAUUGCACUAUCGGGAUCCAUUGCAGAAUUCCACCAAAACCACACUCUUCCUAGGUUGCCCCCAGCCAAUGACUGGGCAUGGUAAAGGCACCAAAGCCAAGCUAUUGCCGGCCAACAUGGGAUCCCCCUGUGGGCAAUCUUUGCUCUAGGGAUCCCCAUCAGCUUGGCCAAGUCUUUCUCAGAGAUGUCCUCCAGUCUAAGAUGCCUCCUACCUAACCCUCCUUCCUCCUCCCUUCUUCUUCCCCACUCUCCUUUCAUAGGUGUCUGACUGGUAUUGCUGCAUGAUGGCUCUCCCUGCCUGUAUCUACUUCCUCUCUCCGUUAUUUUUUGUAAGGUAUCUCUUGGCCUUCAAUUAUCUAUUGGUGUCUGCUUGCUAGAAGAGCUGCACUGAGCCAAGUUUUGUGUGUCUGGCUUCUUUCGCUUAAACUUAAAUAUGUUGGAUUCACCUAUGAGCAAUCCUUUUAUUAAAAAGUCUAAUUAUGCACCAAUAAGGCUAUUAAAAGUAUAUUUAUAUAUGUUAAAAUUUUAGAACUUACUGUAGACUCUUUUUCAUCCUUGUGAUUCAUCUACUCUCCCAACCACCAGCCUCCUUGAGCCUCAGUCAAAGAUCUAGCAGCCUGCAGUACAUGUCUGAUAAGAACACAGCCCAGAACCAGCUCAAAACUAUCAACAGCUCAUUAUUCAUAUAACAAACAUUAAUACCUACACUGUUCCGGGCAUCGGGAGGGACGUGCCUUGGCAUGCCAAAUAACUUCCAGAUUUAGUAGCCUGGAUAUAGACGACCCUAUGAUGUGGUUCCAGUCUGCCUUUUUGGGUGCAUCUUCACGUACCCCAUAAUCACUCUUGAAGGUGUGUGUUCCUUCAUUCCAGAGAUUCCUUAGGGCUUCCCACUUGUGCAGGACCAAACUUCAAGGCAGGUCUGGGCAAGACUGGAGUCCCUCCCUGAUUGUACCCACAAAGUCAGAGUCAAGCUUUGACUUCAGCCUUCACACAGCAUUUGUGAUGCUGGUAAUUAAUACUGGAGAAAGGCCUUGGCUAUAGUGGGGAAAGCACUCGGCUGAGAACUUAGAGUUCAAGACUCUGUUCUUCCACUUACUCUUUGUGAUAUGAAUGAGUCACUUAAUCUUUCUG